rnacentral:lncRNA from 1 species
UGGACUCCAUUUAUUUUUCUCUUUUUAUCUUUUUGUCCAUCUUUACGCUUUUUUUUUCUUCUUCUUUUCUUUGUUGUUUUUAUUUUAUUUUAUUUACUCAAUAGAAAUACCUGCAAAAUAAACAAAAUUAGAAAGAAAUAAAAAAGGAUGGAUUGCCUCCUACCAAACGCUUUCUUUUACGUCAUUGAGCUUGACGCUUCAACC